UACGAAGGGUGCAAACGUUGCUCGGAAUUAUUGGGCGUAAAGCGCACGUAGGCGGCUUAGCAAGUUGGAUGUGAAAUCCCUCGGCUCAACCAAGGAAGUGCAUCCAAAACUGCUGAGCUUGAGUACUUAAGAGGAUCGCGGAAUUCCCGGUGUAGAGGUGAAAUUCGUAGAUAUCGGGAGGAACACCAGUGGCGAAGGCGGCGAUCUGGGAAGAUACUGACGCUGAGGUGCGAAACCGUGGGGAGCAAACAGG
rnacentral:rRNA from 1 species